ACCUAUGACCCACCGAGAGGACCACAAUGAACCGAUUAUCUCUUGUCCAAACAGUUGUCCCUUGCACAAUAGCGCCAAAAUAAGAUGAUAGCGCUCUGAAUGAGCCUUGUCGUUUAGUUUGUUAAGUUGGAACAUCUCACUCUACUGCUAUUCUAAAUAUGCCCCAGUGUCAUCUUUAUACAAUGCUUGUGUGAGUUAUGUCAUCAUUUUAAAGUGUGUUAUGUUUUGGGGAGCUUGGAUCGGCCUGGGAAGCCCAAGAUGGCAGAGAUAAGGAGGAAGACAGUGUGUGUCGUAACGGAGGAAGAGUUUCCCAGGAGUUUGUCUCUAACGGAAUGCAGACAAUUUCAUUUUAAUAGGAAACAUUUGUAAAUGUUUAGAAAUCAUAUAUUUUAUGAGAAAAGACAGUGUACGGGGACGCUGCGGGGUUUCGUGUCUUCUCGCUGGUUUCUGCCAUCAAACAUGGAAAGCAAUGGUUGAUGAUAAAAGUCGAACCAACACGGUCACGCCGCCAUUAAUAUAAACAUCUGUAAUUCAUAUAAUUUAACGAUUAUUUUUUCUUUAUUAAAAAAGAAUAUAAGAGGUGCGGAAAUUAAAGAUUUAAAGUUUUUCUGGAGAAUCUGGCUAAUAAGGACGGGGACCAGAUGUCAUGAAGGCAUGUUUUCAGCAAGGACUGAACACAACCAAAUGUUAAAAUUGCAAAUGACUCGUUAAUAGGGAAAUAUUUGCAUCAUCAUACGCUAGCAGCCUAUGAUAUUUUCUAAUUAGUAUAUGUAGCUAGAAUUAUCUCUCAAAUCUAGUUUUAAUUCGCCAUGAUGAUCUAACCACCAUUUCUUCUCUGGUUCCGAAAUGUCACUGGAUGGAUGUUCACUCGGAGUGACUGCAUUAAGGACGCUUGUUAUUAUUAGCGAUGACUAACAAUUUGCAAAUGAUGACAAACUAGGUCCGCACAAUUAACAAUAUUUCGCAGAGUCCUUUUCAUAUAUUCCUCGUCAACAUUUUCGCAUCAGGAGCAUUCAAAAUACCAUUGCCCAGCUAAGGUUAAUCAUGUCGAUCCAAAUUGUUUCGAAAAUUAAAUAAAUGUUCAAUCUGUUUCGAU
rnacentral:sRNA from 1 species